UGCAGUCGAGCGGUAGCACAGGAGAGCUUGCUCUCUGGGUGACGAGCGGCGGACGGGUGAGUAAUGUCUGGGAAACUGCCCGAUGGAGGGGGAUAACUACUGGAAACGGUAGCUAAUACCGCAUAACGUCUUCGGACCAAAGAGGGGGACCUUCGGGCCUCUUGCCAUCGGAUGUGCCCAGAUGGGAUUAGCUAGUAGGUGGGGUAAUGGCUCACCUAGGCGACGAUCCCUAGCUGGUCUGAGAGGAUGACCAGCCACACUGGAACUGAGACACGGUCCAGACUCCUACGGGAGGCAGCAGUGGGGAAUAUUGCACAAUGGGCGCAAGCCUGAUGCAGCCAUGCCGCGUGUAUGAAGAAGGCCUUCGGGUUGUAAAGUACUUUCAGCGAGGAGGAAGGCGUUGUGGUUAAUAACCGCAGCGAUUGACGUUACUCGCAGAAGAAGCACCGGCUAACUCCGUGCCAGCAGCCGCGGUAAUACGGAGGGUGCAAGCGUUAAUCGGAAUUACUGGGCGUAAAGCGCACGCAGGCGGUCUGUCAAGUCGGAUGUGAAAUCCCCGGGCUCAACCUGGGAACUGCAUUCGAAACUGGCAGGCUAGAGUCUUGUAGAGGGGGGUAGAAUUCCAGGUGUAGCGGUGAAAUGCGUAGAGAUCUGGAGGAAUACCGGUGGCGAAGGCGGCCCCCUGGACAAAGACUGACGCUCAGGUGCG
rnacentral:rRNA from 1 species